CUCCCCCUAGUCAGUUGCAACAAGGUUAAUUUGGAAAGGAUCCCUUCUCUUGCAGAUACCUUUGUUCCACAAAUUACUUUUAUUUUGAAAGAAGCCAAGUUACCAACACUUACUUGAUUAACAAAAGAGCUGGCUUGCAGCAUUUGCAGUGAGAGAUUAUCUUUGCCUGCAACACAGAGGUACCUAAGGGAUACUCCUUCCACGGGGAGACAGUGAGGACUGGAGAUGCUGGAUAUCAGAGUUGAAAAGCCUGGCACUGGAAAAGCACAGAAGGUCAGGCAGCAUCCGAGAAGCAGGAGAAAUGACAUCCCUUCAUCAACUGGGAUAUUCACAGUCACCAAUUCUUGAAUCCAAGCAAGACAAAUAAGUUAGAAGAUUCUUUUCACAUGGAGAAUUGUCAGUUACACAGACAAGAGAACUCAAUCUCACUUGUCUCUGCCAAUGGAGUUGAUACAUAUUUUUAAAAUCU